rnacentral:rRNA from 1 species
GGCUUAGAGUUUGAUCAUGGCUCAGGAUGAACGCUGGCGGCGUGCUUAACACAUGCAAGUCGAGCGAAGCACUUGAGGUUGAUUUCUUCGGAAUGAAAUCUCAUUUGACUGAGCGGCGGACGGGUGAGUAACGCGUGGGUGACCUGCCCCAUACCGGGGGAUAACAGCUGGAAACGGCUGCUAAUACCGCAUAAGCGCACGGAGCUGCAUGGCUCAGUGUGAAAAACUCCGGUGGUAUGGGAUGGGCCCGCGUCUGAUUAGGCAGUUGGCGGGGUAACGGCCCACCAAACCGACGAUCAGUAGCCGACCUGAGAGGGCGACCGGCCACAUUGGGACUGAGACACGGCCCAAACUCCUACGGGAGGCAGCAGUGGGGAAUAUUGCACAAUGGGGGAAACCCUGAAGCAGCGACGCCGCGUGAGCGAAGAAGUAUUUCGGUAUGUAAAGCUCUAUCAGCAGGGAAGAUAAUGACGGUACCUGACUAAGAAGCCCCGGCUAACUACGUGCCAGCAGCCGCGGUAAUACGUAGGGGGCAAGCGUUAUCCGGAUUUACUGGGUGUAAAGGGAGCGUAGACGGCGAAGCAAGUCUGGUGUGAAAACCCGGGGCUCAACCCCGGGCCUGCAUUGGAAACUGUUUUGCUUGAGUGCCGGAGAGGUAAGCG